UACCAGCACCCCGAGUGGUCGGGACGAUUAUUGGGCCUAAAGCAUCCGUAGCCGGUCCUGCAAGUCUUCCGUUAAAUCCAGCUGCUCAGCAGAUGGGCUGCGGGGGAUACUACAGGGCUAGGAGGCGGGAGAGGCAAGCGGUACUUUAUGGGUAGGGGUAAAAUCCGUUGAUCCAUAGAAGACCACCAGUGGCGAAGGCGGCUUGCCAGAACGCGCUCGACGGUGAGGGAUGAAAGCUGGGGGAGCAAACCGG
rnacentral:rRNA from 1 species